CCAAUCAAACUUCGUGAUAGCUGGUUCUCCCCGAAAUGCAUUUAGGUGCAGCGUUACGUGUUUCUUGCCGGAGGUAGAGCUACUGGAUGGCCGAUGGGCCCUACAAGGUUACUGACGUCAGCCAAACUCCGAAUGCCGGUAAGUGAGAGCGUAGCAGUGAGACUGUGGGGGAUAAGCUUCAUAGUCGAGAGGGAAACAGCCCAGACCACCAACUAAGGCCCCUAAGCGUGUGCUAAGUGGGAAAGGAUGUGGAGUUGCUUAGACAACCAGGAGGUUGGCUUAGAAGCAGCCACCCUUGAAAGAGUGCGUAAUAGCUCACUGGUCAAGUGAUUCCGCGCCGACAAUGUAGCGGGGCUCAAGUACACCGCCGAAGUUGUGGCAUUGCACCAAUGAUACCCAACCGGUCCUAGAGGCCGGUUCAGGUGGUGCGAUGGGUAGGGGAGCGUCGUGUGGGCAGUGAAGCUGCGGGGUGACCCAGUGGUGGAGCCCACACGAGUGAGAAUGCAGGCAUGAGUAGCGAAUGACGGGUGAGAAACCCGUCCGCCGGAUGAUCAAGGGUUCCAGGGUCAAGCUAAUCUGCCCUGGGUCAGUCGGGACCUAAGGCGAGGCCGACAGGCGUAGUCGAUGGACAACGGGUUGAUAUUCCCGUACCGGCGAAGAACCGCCCCUAUCGAACCGGGGACACUAACCACCCGAACCGGGCCAUGCGGUGACCAUUGGUCGCCGCCGGCACCGGGGAGCGUGGGACCUGAACCGGGGAGGUAAGCGUAUUAACAGGUGUGACGCAGGAAGGUAGCCGAGCCGGGCGAUGGUAGACCCGGUCUAAGCGUGUAGGGCGAUCCGUUGGCAAAUCCGCGGAUCAUGAGCCUGAGACGUGACGGGACCCCCAUUCGUGGGGGGAUUCGGUGAUCCUAUGCUGCCGAGAAAAGCAUCGACGCGAGGUUCCAGCCGCCCGUACCCCAAACCGACACAGGUGAUCAGGUAGAGAAUACUAAGGCGAUCGAGAGAAUCAUGGUUAAGGAACUCGGCAAAAUGCCCCCGUAACUUCGGGAGAAGGGGGGCCCCGACCGUGGACACCACUUGCUGGUGCGAGCGGGUAAGGGCCGCAGAGACCAGGGGGAAGCGACUGUUUAUCAAAAACACAGGUCCGUGCGAAGUCGCAAGACGAUGUAUACGGACUGACUCCUGCCCGGUGCUGGAAGGUUAAGAGGACCUGUUAGCCUCACGGCGAAGCGGAGAAUUUAAGCCCCAGUAAACGGCGGUGGU
rnacentral:rRNA from 1 species